CAUAGUUUAUUAGAUCUUACUCUACUUGGAUACCUGUGGUAACCUAAGAGCUAAUACAUGCAAUCAAGUCCUGACUAACAGGGAAGGACGCAUUUAUUAGAACAAAACCAAUCGGGCUUUGCCCGUGAAUUGGUGAAUCUGAAUAACUAUGCUGAUCGCACAGUCCUCGAACUGGCGACGUAUCUUUCAAAUGUCUGGCUUAUCAACUUUCGACGGUAGUUUACACGUCUACCGUGGUAUUUACGGGUAACGGAGAAUAAGGGUUCGACUCCGGAGAGGGAGCCUGAGAAACGGCUACCACA
rnacentral:rRNA from 1 species